rnacentral:rRNA from 1 species
GAUGAACGCUGGCGGCGUGCCUAAUACAUGCAAGUCGAACGAAAAAUCUUUAUCACCUAGUGCUUGCACGCACCGAUGAAGAGUUGAGUGGUAAACGGGUGAGUAACACGUGGGCAACCCGCCCAAACGAGGGGGAUAACACGUGAAAACAGGUGCUAAUAGCGCAUAACCAUAGUUACCGCAGGGUAGCUAUGUAAACGGUGGGUAUACUACCCCCUUUGUAUGGGCCCACGGCGCAUUAGCUAGUUGGUAGGGUAAAGGCUUACCAAGGCAACGAUGCGUAGCCGAAUUGAGAGGUUGAUCGGCCACAUUGGGACUGAGACACGGCCCAAACUCCUACGGGAGGCAGCAGUAGGGAAUCUUCCACAAUGGGCGAAAGCCUGAUGGAGCAACGCCGCGUGGGUGAAGAAGGUCUUCGGAUCGUAAAACCCUGUUGUUAGAGAAGAAAGUGCGUGAGAGUAACUGUUCACGUUUCGACGGUAUCUAACCAGAAAGCCACGGCUAACUACGUG